AAACAUUUCCUGAGUGAAACGUAGGCUUUGGUUUACCAUUUCAGUGUGGCUUCAACGUUUCUUCAUGCUAAGAAUCAGGAACAUAUGUAGACAACACUCUAGAGAUGAACUCUGCUCCAGGCUUGGUGACCGUGGUGCUCUUAAUGCUUGGACAAAUCUAUGGAGACUCGGUGACUCAGAUGGAAGGCCAAAUGACUCUCUCAGAAGGGGCUUCUCUGAAAAUGAACUGCACUUAUUCAACCACAACCUAUGUCGCUCUUUUCUGGUAUGUGCAAUAUCCCAGAGAAGGUCCACAGCUCCUCCUCAGAGCCACGACAGCCAACGAGAAGGGACGCAACAAAGGUUUUGAAGCCACAUACAAUACAGAAACAACCUCCUUCCACUUGGAGAAAGCCUCAGUCCUAGAGUCAGACUCAGCUAUGUACUACUGUGCUAUGAGUGACACAGUGACAGGAACUGCAGGGGGAGCUGAGCACAAACUCUGAGCAGUAAUACGGGGC